CGGAUGUGUGGAUAAAAAGAACGUGGAAAACGAGUGCAGUAACGACGAUAUUUAAAAUAGUAUCAUUCAUAAUUCGAUAGAUGGACUUUUCAGCUACUUGUAAACGGCGAAAUUGUGUCUAAGUUGUGAAUGAGCUUUUUAUUUUCAUUUGCGUACCGAAGUGGUAAAACUGACGACCAUAUAAAGUACGGUAUACGGAAUAAAGCAAGUUCUAAUACUCUCUGCAGUUUGUCCAGUGCUACUUGGCGCUGUUCAUUCCAAUUAGCCGUAAAUUUGUGAAAUAGAUCCCAAGAUAAUCUCCGUUUUAUUUGAUUCCAAAGAGGUUAUCUUUUUAAUAGUUGGCAUUUUCUAGCUUCUUGGUUGCUAUAAGGCAUAGUUGAAGUGCAGUGAGAGGAAGAGGGGAACUCACGGAAACAGACUCCUUAUACUUUUGUCAACGGGUGUGUUCCAAAAUUCGCUAGUUAAACACUUUAUUAGCAGCGGUCCCAUUGAGUCAAAACCCCGCUGAAUGUUGCGACACAAUCUGAUCAUACCACAUAAAUCAUUGCAGCGCCUACUUUUUGACUUCUAGCAGCCAAAUUGUUAUUCAGAUUUAGUUGGCGGUACGACUCCUUACAGCAGUAAAUUAUUCGAAUUAGUAACAAGCGAGUGAUUCGUAUGUGGAGAUAGGAAACGAAGACUGAGCAGAAGCACCCACGCUAAGUAAUUGUAUUCUUGAAUUGGGAGCCUGAAGAAUUAUGAUCAAGCUCAGCAUCUUUUCGUAGCGUCUUCGAGAAUUUGUCCUGUGAGCGGAAGGUUGAAAGUUAUAAAUGAUGUCUUAUUUUUUUGCAUGAUCUCCCCAGACCCAGAUGUCAUCCGUAAAGAAUUUAGUAGGACAAUUGAAGACGCUGUCUUCCAAUUGAUUCAGCGAAGCCUUUUCUUAAGAUCAUUCAUAUUCUUGUCAAA
rnacentral:sRNA from 2 species